AAGAGAAACAAUCCGCAUGAACAUAGACGAGCCGAUAUAUGCUUGCUUAGAGGCACACAAGGAAACGCAUUCGGCAUGCAACAGUAAAAUCGUGAAACUAAAACAGCAUUCGCUCUCGUUGCAAUGAAACAGCGUUCGAUACAUAGACACAUAGACAGAGAAGGCAUCAGCAAUUUUCAGAACUAGAGUUUAGAUCAUUUGAAGCGAAAUAUUCGUAAUACGAUUUUUGUUGGAAAUGACAACUUGAGUUCGUGCUCGCCAUCUAUAUGCAGAUGCGCUAGUUACAAUAAAUAGUAACUAGAAGAUAGUUCUAGAUACAAUCGAUAGAUUUAAUCGAUAGGUUUAAGAUGUCCUUUUGUUUUUAUCCCUAGUCCAUGUAAGAAAGUACAAUAAAGGUUUUCCGGUUCAGAACGGUGUGAUAGAUUUAUCCAAAGAAUACAAUAAUAGCUAUUAUGAUCCUGCCUCUAAAUACAGAAAUAACAGCAAUUUAUAAUAACAAGAAUAUAAUCUUAUAUAGAAAAUGUAAAAUCUUCGGGUUAUCCAUUUAAUUGAAACGUUGAACACUGGUAAACAACUUUCUACCAUAGUGUUAGUGAAAUUAAACGAUUACAGAUACACGAAAUAUUGUUUAUAAGUGUAUUACAAUACACAUAAUUUGAUUUUAAUGCUAUGAUAAUAAGAGCUUUAAACAAAUAAAAAAUCAUGAAAAUCUUGUAUUCUCUUUGAUGAUAUGAAUCACUUCUGGUUCUGAACAUUGCUAGGAUCACAAAAAAAAAAAAAAAAAAAGAAAAUAGAAGUGAAGCACCAUCGACACAAUAUAUACACAUAUAUAUAUUUAAGGCGCACUGGAAGAACUAGAACAACAGACAGACUCAACCACUCACGAGACAUAUUUAUAUACUAAAUCGUCACUGCCUGUUACGGCAUCAAUCAAAUAUCAAUCAAGACUCCAUUUUACCUGAGUUCAGAAUGGAGCCUUGCGUGGGCCGAAAUAGUUGUAGAAGUAGUAGACGUAGUGUUAUAAACAGAGGAACAGAGAUAUAAGUUGCAUAUUAUUGAUAUAAUCGCUUGGACUCGUUCGUAUUAAUUUUACUACAAAAUUCUGCUGAUUAUCAAUAAAGCUCGUUAAUUAACGUUAUCAAAGAGGCUCUGUAACAAGUGGUGGAGCUUUUUUUGUAAAUAUCGCUGCUAACAAACGCUAAGGCGGAUCUGAAGAAAAAAACAAUAGAAGCAAAUUUGAUUUUCAGUGGACACGAUAUAAGGAAACGCUAACGAUGGAUGACAUGAAAUCUCAAUAAUAAAAACGAACGAAAAAGGAAACGGAUGAAAUGAACAUCUUCCAUUAUUCAGAAACAACAUAUCUAAUACCAAAGGAGGACAUAACAGUGGAAUUUUAAGACAAUCAAAAACAAGGGCAAAUCUUAGAGUGACUAUCAUGGCAAGAAAUGAAUGAAUAGACUUUUUUCGUCGAAUAUAAUUCAAGAAAGCAAAAAAUCAAGGCAACGAGAAGUGAUCGUAAAACGUAUGUCAAUAUAUUAUUCUAAGACUAAGGUCCUCAAAACACAGUGCUAUUCAAAUUUAUCAAAGCGUUUAAAUAUUAUUAAUAAUUCAAAUUGUGAUUUAAGCAAACUAAGAUGUUGCAUUCAAUCAAAUGAUGGAUUUGCAUAAGAUUAUAAGUCAUAAAGAUAUCCAAACAAAAUUAGAAGAAAGAAAAAGGAAAAGAAAAAAGAGAGAGAGAAAAGAAACUAAAACGUCGAAAAUUAAAAUUCAUUGGAACUUUUAAUGUAAAGUAGCAAUCCAUUUAGCGUAAAAUUCUGCGCUCAGGUAGCAAGCUCUGUCGUCGAUCAUAGAGCAGCGUUAAUAACGAAACAAAAUAAUAUUCGUUUGCUAAAUUAGCUACGCCUUCAUCAACAUCAUGGCAAAAACGCUUGCGUAGCAAAAGAACUCUCUUGCAAGAAAUCUUGGGAAUUACCUCUUUGUUGGCGUGCUUAUGGUAACACCGUUGGAGAUAUUGUUAAAAGUUAUUAUGAACAAUAGUAACAUGUUAAUUCUAUUGCCAUUACACAAUCGUAGAAUUAAGUGAUAUAUGCAAUCGAUCGAAUUAAUAAAAUGGAUUACUACAAAAUGAA